GCCUAGCUGGCUCAGUUGGUGGAGCGUGCAACUUCUAAUCCUAGAGUUGUGAGUUCAAGCCCCACAUUGGGUG
rnacentral:tRNA from 1 species